rnacentral:lncRNA from 1 species
CGGAAUUUCUAACAAUUCAUUAUAAUUCAUAACAAUCUGUAAACGUCGCGCUCCUGAUAUACAUUCGAUAGUUUGAUAAAUUCUACAAAUCUCUACUAGUUCCUAUUAAAAUAAUAGUCUCUUCCUUGCUUGAAACGAGACAUGCGAUCCAGAUUUGCACUCUUCGCUGCAGGUGUACAAAUUCCAUUAUGCGUUAAUAACCGCUCGUAAAACAUGUCCGUGGGAAUUUUCCCUCGAAAUAAACGGCAUUUCCGGAAGAUUAAACAAUUUUACCAGUAAAUAUUGGAAAUAUCGGCAUGUUUAAACCGAAUAGUCUCUUCCUCGUUUGAAACGGGACUUGCGACCCAGAUUUGCACUCCUCGCUGCAAGUGUACAAAUUCCAUUAUGCAUUAAUAACCGCUCGUAAAACAUGUCCGUGGGAAUUUCCCCUUUGAAGAAACGGCAUUUUUGGAAGAUUAUACAAUUUUACCAGUAAAUAUUGGAAAUAUCGGCAUGUUUAAACCGAAUAGUCUCUUCCUCGUUUGAAACGGGACUUGCGAUCCAGAUUUGCACUCCUCGCUGCAAGUGUACAAAUUCCAUUAUGCAUUAAUAACCGCUCGUAAAACAUGUCCGUGGGAAUUUUCCCUCGAAAGAAAUGGCAUUUUUGGAAGAUUAAACAAUUUUACUAGUAAAUAUUGGAAAUAUCGGCAUAUUUAAACCGAAUAGUCUCUUCCUCGUUUGAAACGCGACUUGCGAUCCAGAUUUGCACUCCUCGUUGCAAGUGUACAAACUCCAUUAUGCGUUAAUAACCGCUCGUAAAAUAUGUCCGUGGGAAUUUUCCCUCGUAAUAAACGGCAUUUCCGGAAGAUUAAACAAUUUUACCAGUAAAUAUUGGAAAUAUCGGUAUAUUUAAACCGAAUAGUCUUUUCCUCGUUGAAACGGGACUUGCGGCACUCCUCGCUGCAGAUCGUACAUACACACUCCAUUGUGCGUUAAUAAGAGCUCGACUUGUUCCGCAUCUUCCUGGCACCCUACUCUCUGUAACCAGGUCGAUUUCUACAUAAUCAGGCAUCCCGCGUGGCGUGAUAAAUAAAGGCAAAACAAACAGGAAGCCAAAGAGAGGAGAGAAGUCUCCCAGCGAGCGGCUUCGCGGAGUUGGUAUGAGAUAAUGAAAGGCGCACUCUCGAGUAAUGUUCUUUUACGCCACUUACGUCUGCAAUGGCGCAUAAUACUCGCUUCAAUGGGGUACAAGAAUUACGGGAUAAGUGACGGUAUGACGUUCCUCCAUUGUGGACAGGUGAAGUGCGUUACUUUGGCUCCUCGAGUGGGGUUUUUCGUUGCUCAACGAGUGACCCCCGGUAAUUGUUCCCCGCACAGAAGUUCAAUAAGAAAUAUGCCAGUUGAAGAUUUCUCCCUUGCGUGGGAUUUUUUCUUUUUCCUUAAGAGAUAACCCCUAAGCCCCGGUAAUUGUUCUUCGCACAGGUGAGCAUUACCCGUGACAGGGCAAUUCUUAUGCAUAUCGUGGCGCUAAAAUAUUUUCAAAACCUUGCCAAGUCCAUCUUAAUGAUGUAUCCAUUUCUCCUGGGUGAGUAGAAACAAAUUGCAGAGAAAUAAAAAAACGUUCACCUGAAUCAACGAUAUGGUGGGACGCAACGAUAUGAAUCAAUGAUAAGUUAUCACGGAAACCGGGCGAAUCGAUCCAAGAAAAUCACGAUGACAAACUACGGUAUACUUUACGGUACUCUGUCACAGGAAGCGAUCCCCGUGUGCGGAAACAUCUCCGCAGAAGAAUUUCAAUUAUCGGGUGCUGCUAAAGGGAACAGCCGUGGAAAUGGUCAGCGGGUUCUUUUCUAAUUGCCACGAGUUGCGUCGCCAUUUCCAGUAGCCGCAUUCCCGGGACACCUAGAAGACAUUAUUAAGUACAUUGAUCUCUUAUCACGUGGUUCAAAAUACCAAUAGAUCAUUCCUGAUAAAAAUGUCUGCAUUGCGAGGAGUGCACAUCGGGCUGGCGGAGAGAAAAUCUUAUCCUCUGAUUAUAAAUAGAUACAUAUUUUCAUUUUUUGGUACGUAUAUCCUCCUAAGAUCCAUGGCACCGUGUAGGUCAAUAUACUCCUCGGUACUGUAUACAUCGCGAGAGAACACCGAGACUGGCAGAUAGAAAAUCGGGGUCAGGUCCAAGAUCUUUCCGACUCCUUUGCUCCCAAGAGCGAGAUGAAUGCCCGAGAACGUCCGCAGUGUGUUAAAAUCCUGAAAGCAAAUAGAAAUCCGAAGACAAGUGGGACGACCAAAAACGCAUUCAUUAAUCUCGAGCCGUGACGUAAACAAAUGUCCAGAUAGUUUGUUUCCUGGGGAUACUAAUCACGGGUGGCUAUCAUUGCCUGAAAAUGCUCAUCCGGUGUAGAUCGUGUAUCAGAUCUCGCAGGCGGUAGAAAAAAACUCGCCGAGACUCAAUUAAUACUCAAUUAUAAAAUCAUGAGAAAAAAAAGAAAGAAAAAAAGAACUCACUCAUGACGCGAUGAUCUUGGCGCGGGACGCAUCCGAGAUGCAGCGAGGAGGUCGCUGGCAAAGUAGGAAGACAAAGUCCGGAUUUCGAAAGCGACAUAUAAAAUUCGAUUCCUCGGAAGGCGUUCAUUUCGGUCGAUGAAUUUUCCAAGAGUCUCGCCAGGGAAACUAGAAAAUGAGAAAUUUGUUUCCUGGGGAUACUAAUCACGGUUGCCUAUCAUUGCCUGAAAAUGCUCAUCCGGUGUAGAUCGUGUAUCAGAUCUCGCAGGCGGUAGAAAGAAACUGGUCGACACUCAAUUAAUACUCGAUUAUAAAAUCUUGAGAAAAAAAAAGGAAG